UAAAUAACAAUGCAGGGCCCUCUGGGUCUUGCAAUUGGAAUGAGAACAAUUUAAAUCCCUUAUCGAGUAACAAUUGGAGGGCAAGUCUGGUGCCAGCAGCCGCGGUAAUUCCAGCUCCAAUAGCGUAUAUUAAAGUUGUUGCAGUUAAAAAGCUCGUAGUUGAACCUUGGGUGCGUGGCUGGGGGUUGCUCGCAAGAGCAGACUCCUAUGCCCGUGCCUCUAUUGGGGACUAGCUCUUUGGGCUAGGCAACCAGUGUUACUGUGAAGAAAUUAGAGUGUUUAAAGCAGGCUAUCGCUUGAAUACAUCAGCAUGGAAUAACAAGUAGGACGGCAGUCUGCUUGUUGGUUGGUAUACUACCGUAAUGAUUAAUAGGGCCAGUUGGGGGCAUUAGUAUUCAGUAGUCAGAGGUGAAAUUCUUGGAUUUACUGAAGACUAACUAGUGCGAAAGCAUUUGCCAAGGAUGUUUUCAUUAAUCAAGAACGAAAGUUAGGGGAUCGAAGACGAUCAGAUACCGUCGUAGUCUUAACUAUAAACGAUGCCGACUAAGGAUCGGCAGAAGUCGUUUUCGACUCUGUCGGCACUUUGUGAGAAAUCAAAGUUUUUGGGUUCUGGGGGAGUAUGGUCGCAAGGCUGAAACUUAAAGGAAUUGACGGAAGGGCACCACCAGGAGUGGAGCCUGCGGCUUAAUUUGACUCAACACGGGAAAACUCACCAGGUCCGGACAUAGUAAGGAUUGACAGAUUGAGAGCUCUUUCUUGAUUCUGUGGGUGGUGGUGCAUGGCCGUUCUUAGUUGGUGGAGUGAUUUGUCUGGUUAAUUCCGAUAACGAACGAGACCUUAACCUGCUAACUAGUUGCUGCUACUUUUGUAGGAGCACACUUCUUAGAGGGACUGACUACGCUUAGUAGUCGGAAGUUUGAGGCAAUAACAGGUCUGUGAUGCCCUUAGAUGUUCUGGGCUGCACGCGCGCUACACUGACAAAGCCAGCGAGUAUACCUUGGCCGAGAGGUCUGGGAAAUCUUGUAAAACUUUGUCGUGCUGGGGAUAGAUCAUUGCAAUUAUUGGUCUUGAACGAGGAAUUCCUAGUAAGCGCAAGUCAUCAGCUUGCGUUGAUUACGUCCCUGCCCUUUGUACACACCGCCCGUCGCUACUACCGAUUGAAUGGCUUAGUGAGGC
rnacentral:rRNA from 1 species